UAUAAUAUAGUGUACACUGCACACAGGAUUUUGAUACCUGAAGAAGACCCCCUCUUAUUAUAA
rnacentral:tRNA from 1 species